rnacentral:lncRNA from 1 species
CCAAUAUAGCCCAAUUAACAGUUUUUUUUUUUUUUUUAAGAGAAAGAUAGUAUUCUAUUCACUUUGACGUUUCUCAAGAAACAAAUAAGCAUCGAAUUUGAGAGUUCGGGUAUCAACUAUUAAAUUCUUAGCCAAUUAUUCUAGAUGUAAUCGGCGACUUCAAUGUAAUAAAUAGUGAACUUAUUAAUAUCUGGUUGAAUAUAUCAUAGAUAGUGAAGUUAUUAAUAUUUGGUUAAUGUGUUGUUUAGAGAUUUGGUAACUGGAUGUACGAGAUAUGUUGUUCUAUCUUAUUAAGAAUUA